rnacentral:tRNA from 1 species
GCGAGGAUGGCGAAAUUGGUAUACGCGCUGGAUUUAGGUUCCAGUGUCGAAAGACGUGAGGGUUCGAGUCCCUCUCCUCGCA